GAACAAAUCGUACACCACUCCCAAAAGCUGUAUCCUGUACAAUUUGAAUGUCACAAACGCAUCAGCUAUUUGAAAAAGCAAGCCCAGAAAACAACUGACAAACCAAACAAAUCUGGGAGGCUCAGCAUAUACAUUUUUCUCUUCUAGAAGCUCCGAAGUGCUGAUAUACCAUUUACAUUUAAAUCUGGCGACAUUCAAAUGAAGAAAGCCAACAAUUGCAAAUGUGGCAAUGCUAUGGAGGAGUGGUAACUGGUGCUAUAAGAACAUACAAUGGGGGAUGAAGAGGUCAGAAAUGACUGAAGACAGAAGGAACGAAUCUUCUGGGAAGAAAAAGAAGG